CUGCCUUGAUGAAAUGGACUUGAUGAAAGUUUGUUCAUGCUUAAUGAAACAUAUGUUGAUCCUGAGCGGUUAACUGAGCAG